GAUGAACGCUGGCGGCGUGCCUAAUACAUGCAAGUCGAGCGAACAGAUGAGGAGCUUGCUCCUCUGACGUUAGCGGCGGACGGGUGAGUAACACGUGGAUAACCUACCUAUAAGACUUGGAUAACUUCGGGAAACCGGAGCUAAUACCGGGUAAUAUAUUUAACCGCAUGGUUCAAUAGUGAAAGACGGUUUUGCUGUCACUUAUAGAUGGAUCCGCGCCGCAUUAGCUAGUUGGUAAGGUAACGGCUUACCAAGGCAACGAUGCGUAGCCGACCUGAGAGGGUGAUCGGCCACACUGGAACUGAGACACGGUCCAGACUCCUACGGGAGGCAGCAGUAGGGAAUCGUCCGCAAUGGGCGAAAGCCUGACGGAGCAACGACGCGUGAGUGAUGAAGGCCUUCGGAUCGUAAAACUCUGUUAUUAGGGAAGAACAAAUGUGUAAGUAACUAUGCACGUCUUGACGGUACCUAAUCAGAAAGCCACGGCUAACUACGUG
rnacentral:rRNA from 1 species